AUACUAAGUGACGCAUAGGUUGAGGAGGCAGUGACCGUGGCGGUGGAGGAGGAGGAUGAGGUAGCCAACACUGUUAUAUAUAUAUAUAUAUAUAUAUAUUUUUUUUUUUUGUUUGUUUUUUUAAUUGGGGUAGCCCCCAAAAUAUUGGGACAUAUAAAAAAAGACAACUCUGUUCCGCAGAGUAGCUGUUGACAUUAUAGUUGCGCAGGAAUUUUGUUGACUCUAAAGAACCUCGGGCAAAUCGCACAUCCCCGUGGCGGUGACUUUGCAUGCGGAUGUCAUCCAUAUCAACUUUCGAUGCCAGUUUCUGCACCUACCAUGGUGACCACGGGUAACGGGGAAUCAGGGUUCCAUUCCAUACAGGGACCCUGAGAAACGGCUACCACAUGCAAGGAAGGCAGCAGGCGCGCAAAUGACCCACUCCCGACACGGGAAGAUAGU